UACGGGGGGGGCAAGCGUUGUCCGGAAUUAUUGGGCGUAAAGAGCUCGUAGGCGGUCUGUCGCGUCGGCUGUGAAAUCCCGAGGCUCAACCUCGGGUCUGCAGUCGAUACGGGCAAACUGGAGUGUUGCAGGGGAGACUGGAAUUCCUGGUGUAGCGGUGAAAUGCGCAGAUAUCAGGAGGAACACCAGCGGCGAAGGCGGCGCUCUGGGCCGGUACUGACACUGAGGAGCGAAAGCGUGGGUAGCAAACAGG
rnacentral:rRNA from 1 species